rfam:Sorghum bicolor cultivar BTx623 chromosome 3, whole genome shotgun sequence.
AUUCUAUGAUGGGGACAUUCUAGGAUGUAGUCUUGAAAGCGCUCCCAUGCUUCUGGAACGGAUUCAUCAUUUUGUUGCUGAAAACUGGUAAUCUUCCCACGGAGAGC